ensembl:snRNA U6 U6 spliceosomal RNA
GUGCUCCCUUUGGCAGCACAUAUACUAAAUCAGAACGGUGCAGAGAUGAGCAUGGCCCCUGUGCGAGGAUGUCAUGCAAAAUCAUUAAGGUUCCAACUGAAUA